UUGUCUUUAUUAGUGUCUUCCUACCUGUCGUGAUUCCUGUCUUUGUACCUGUUGUCAACCAGAGUUUUUAUGUUGUACAGUUUGUCAGUAAAAUAGUUGUUGUUCCCUUUACCUGGAGGCCUGGUUGCUCUGCACCUGAGCUCUUAACCCCCAACACCUGUGAAAACAAGAGUGAAAUAAAGGAUUGUUUAAAACUAAACCUCUCCUCUUCUCUCAGGUAGCCCAGUAUCUGAACUUGGAGCUGCCCAUCCUGGAGCAGGUGCUCCUGCAACUGCGUGAGGAGGAGAACCGACUGAUACAGAGAGUCAUUAGCAAGUACCACCAGCAGCAUAGAGUCCUGUCCCACACGCUGACCUGUAAGAUGUUCCCUCACUUUGAGACCAGUGUCUGACGGUCAUCACAGCCAACGACUUGCUGUCCAGCGUCCAACGCCUUUCACUUCAGGAACAUGUUGAAAGAUGUUUGGUUGUGAAACAAAGAUGCCACGUGACCACACCUAAACCUGACAUGCCGACAACAUACAUGGCUCUGUUUCAAGUCGUACAAACUGGGUCACUGUCAUUUGUAUUCAUCAUGUGAUUUUUUUUUUUUCCCCUUCAUUUAUUAUUUUUUAUCUGUAAAAUAAGUACAAGAUAUUCAUGUAAGAUGCUGUUGUAAAUAACUGUAAAUCAGUGUUGAGCGUUAAUAAAUAGAAGUUGUGGGACCAGCA